GAUGAACGCUGGCGGCGUGCCUAAUACAUGCAAGUCGAGCGAACGGACGAGAAGCUUGCUUUUCUGAUGUUAGCGGCGGACGGGUGAGUAACACGUGGAUAACCUACCUAUAAGACUGGGAUAACUUCGGGAAACCGGAGCUAAUACCGGAUAAUCUUUUGAACCGCAUGGUUCAAAAGUGAAAGACGGUCUUGCUGUCACUUAUAGAUGGAUCCGCGCUGCAUUAGCUAGUUGGUAAGGUAACGGCUUACCAAGGCAACGAUGCAUAGCCGACGUGAGGGGGUGAUCGGCCACACUGGAACUGAGACACGGUCCAGACUACUAAGGGAGGCAGCAGUAGGGAAUCUUCCGCAAUGGGCGAAAGCCUGACGGAGCAACGCCGCGUGAGUGAUGAAGGUCUUCGGAUCGUAAAACUCUGUUAUUAGGGAAGAACAUAUGUGUAAGUAACUGUGCACAUCUUGAAGGUACCUAAUCAGAAAGCAACGGCUAACUACGUG
rnacentral:rRNA from 1 species